rnacentral:rRNA from 1 species
CGGACGGGUGAGUAACACGUGGAUAACCUACCUAUAAGACUGGGAUAACUUCGGGAAACCGGAGCUAAUACCGGAUAAUAUAUUGAACCGCAUUGUUCAAUAGUGAAAGACGGUUUUGCUGUCACUUAUAGAUGGAUCCGCGCCGCAUUAGCUAGUUGGUAAGGUAACGGCUUACCAAGGCAACGAUGCGUAGCCGACCUGAGAGGGUGAUCGGCCACACUGGAACUGAGACACGGUCCAG